CCUGCGUGCGAUGUUCGCAUUGCAGGUCGGAAUGUGGCCAGCGUGGUCCAUCGGGCCACGCGGCUGAACCACCAA
rnacentral:ncRNA from 1 species